UACGUAGGCAGCGAGCGUUGUUCGGAGUUACUGGGCGUAAAGAGUGCGUAGGCGGUUUUCUAAGUUUGGUGUGAAAUCUCCCGGCUUAACUGGGAGGGUGCGCCGAAGACUGGAAGGCUUGAGUAUGGGAGAGGUAAGCGGAAUUCCUGGUGUAGCGGUGAAAUGCGUAGAUAUCGAGAGGAACACCAGUGGCGCAAGCGGCUGACUGGCCGAGACCGUGACGCUGAGACACGACGGCGUGGGGAGCAAACAGG
rnacentral:rRNA from 1 species